rnacentral:rRNA from 1 species
GGGUCAGUAGGUUGGUCGUGCCACCGGUACGUACUGGUCUCACUGAUUCCUCCUUCCUGAAUAACCGUAAUGCCAUUAAUUUGGUGUUGCGGGGAAACAGGACUGUUACUUUGAAAAGAUUAGAGUGUUUAAAGCAAGCUAACGCUUGAAUACAUUAGCAUGGAAUAAUGAAAUAGGACGAUCGAUCCUAUUUUGUUGGUUUCUAGGAUUGACGUA